rnacentral:rRNA from 1 species
UACGAAGGGGGCUAGCGUUGUUCGGAAUUACUGGGCGUAAAGCGCACGUAGGCGGAUACUUAAGUCAGGGGUGAAAUCCCGGGGCUCAACCUCGGAACUGCCUUUGAUACUGCGAAUCUCGAGUCCGAUAGAGGUGGGUGGAAUUCCUAGUGUAGAGGUGAAAUUCGUAGAUAUUAGGAAGAACACCGGUGGCGAAGGCGGCCCACUGGAUCGGUACUGACGCUGAGGUGCGAAAGCGUGGGGAGCAAACAGG